GAUGUGGUUGUAUCGGGCGAAAAAAAAAGGGCCACAAAUAGAAGGGGCGUGGCUUGUGGAGGGUGUGGCUUGCAACCUGGACCAGAAGAUGCAGGGUGGAGCUUGUGGAGUAAGGUAGUGGAAGUCCCAUAAAUAAAACAAAACAGACCUUGUCAAAUGGGGGAGUGUUCUAUAGGUCAAAGCUUGCUGAAGGGUACAUGCCAAAAGCCGUGUCCAUCGUGACCAGCGGGGCCGAGAAGCACUGAAUGUCUCAAGACAAAGGGUCAGACCUUUCUGCAGAAAAGAGCAAGGAAUUAUGGGCUGAAGGACACAACACCAUGGAGACGUUCACGGAAGGAGCACGAGCGCUGCACAAUAAAUGAGUACUGUGGUGAUGGUUGUGCUGAUACAUUGAGUUACCUACAAUUUUCAGAGUCAUUUUCUUUCCAUGCUGAAAGGAAAGAGUAGAGCGCCUCCAAUAUAACACAGUUAAUAAAGUUAUUAUUCAAAGA